GCCAGGUGUAGUGGUGCUGUCUGUAAUCCAAGCAUCUGGAGGCUGUAGCAUGCUACGUUAAACAGGUGUCCUCACCAAGUUCAGUAUCAGUAUGACCACCAGGUCAUCUAAGGAGGGCUGCACUGGCCCAGGUCAGAAAUUAAGCAGGUCAAAGCCCCUGUGCUGUCCAGUAGUGGUUUAGCGCCUGUGAGAAGACGCUGCAGUGCAGCCUUG
rnacentral:SRP_RNA from 1 species